UCCGCCCAGGGUUAGUCGGGUCCUAAGACGAGGCCGAGAGGCGUAGCCGAUGGACAACAGGUUGAUAUUCCUGUACUACCUAUAAGACUGAUGGAGUGACGGAGAAGGUUAGGAAAAGCCAGUUAUUGGAUUCUGGUCUAAGCACAAAGGCUUAUAAAUUAGGAAAUCUGUUUAUAAUUAAGCUGAAGUGUGAUGGUGAAGUCGCUUGCGACGAAAUUUUCUGACACCAUGCUUCCAAGAAAAGCUUCUAGGGUUAAUCUUAUAGGUACCCGUACUCAGAACCGACACAGGUGGUCAAGGAGAGUAUCCUAAGGUGAGCGAGAGAACUAUGGUUAAGGAACUCGGCAAAAUAACCCCGUAACUUCGGGAGAAGGGGUGGUCACUAGAUGACCGACACUAAAGACGCCCAGGCAACUGUUUACCAAAAACACAGGUCUCUGCUAAGUCGUAAGACGAUGUAUAGGGGCUGACACCUGCCCAGUGCUGGAAGGUUAAGAGGAGUGCUUAGAUAGACGCAAGUCGAUUAUUCGAAGGUACGAAUUGAAGCCCCAGUGAACGGCGGCCGUAACUAUAACGGUCCUAAGGUAGCGAAAUUCCUUGUCAGGUAAGUUCUGACCCGCACGAAAGGUGUAAUGAUCUGGGCACUGUCUCAACCAUAGACUCGGUGAAAUCUUAAUACCUGUGAAAAUGCAGGUUACCCGCAACAGGACGGAAAGACCCCAUGGAGCUUUACUGUAGCUUGAUAUUGAAGUUCGGUAUAUUAUGUAGAGAAUAGGUGGGAGACUAUGAAGUUAGGACGCUAGUUCUAAUGGAGUCACCUUUGGAAUACCACCCUUAAUGUAUUGAAUUUCUAACCUCGAUUCAUUAUCUGGAUCAGGGACAGUGUCUGGUGGGCAGUUUGACUGGGGCGGUCGCCUCCCAAAAAGUAACGGAGGCGCCCAAAGGUUCCCUCAGAAUGGUUGGACAUCAUUCAAAGAGCGUAAAGGUAUAAGGGAGCUUGACUGCGAGACCAACAAGUCGAGCAGAUACGAAAGUAGGGCUUAGUGAUCAGACGAUUCAGAAUGGAAUGGUCGUCGCUUAACGGAUAAAAGUUACCCUGGGGAUAACAGGCUGAUACCACCCAAUAGUUCACAUAGACGGUGGUGUUUGGCACCUCGAUGUCGGCUCGUCGUAUCCUGGAGGUGAAGUCGCUUCCAAGGGUUGGGCUGUUCGCCCAUUAAAACGGCACGCGAGCUGGGUUCAGAACGUCGUGAGACAGUUCGGUCCCUAUCCGUUGUGGGCGUAGGAAAAUUGAAGAGAGCUAUCCUUAGUACGAGAGGACCGGGAUGGACAUACCUCUGGUGUAUCUGUUGUAGCGCCAGCUGCAGUGCAGAGUAGCUAUGUAUGGAAAGGAUAACCGCUGAAAGCAUCUAAGCGGGAAGCCUCCUUUGAGAUGAGUUUUCCCAUAUUUUAUAUAGUAAGAUCCCUUGAAGACUACAAGGUUGAUAGGCUGGAGAUGGAAGAAUGGCGACAUUUUGAGUUGACCAGUACUAAUAGAUCGAGGAUUUAAUCC
rnacentral:rRNA from 1 species